rnacentral:rRNA from 1 species
UACAGAGGGGGCGAGCGUUGUUCGGAAUUACUGGGCGUAAAGGGCGCGUAGGCGGCCAACUAAGUCAGACGUGAAAUCCCUCGGCUCAACCGGGGAACUGCGUCUGAUACUGGAUGGCUUGAAUUUGGGAGAGGGAUGCGGAAUUCCAGGUGUAGCGGUGAAAUGCGUAGAUAUCUGGAGGAACACCGGUGGCGAAGGCGGCAUCCUGGACCGAGAUUGACGCUGAUGCGCGAAAGCUAGGGGAGCAAACGGG